GACGAACGCUGGCGGCGUGCUUAACACAUGCAAGUCGAACGGAAAGGCCCUGCUUUUGUGGGGUGCUCGAGUGGCGAACGGGUGAGUAACACGUGAGUAACCUGCCCUUGACUUUGGGAUAACUUCAGGAAACUGGGGCUAAUACCGGAUAGGAGCUCCUGCUGCAUGGUGGGGGUUGGAAAGUUUCGGCGGUUGGGGAUGGACUCGCGGCUUAUCAGCUUGUUGGUGGGGUAGUGGCUUACCAAGGCUUUGACGGGUAGCCGGCCUGAGAGGGUGACCGGCCACAUUGGGACUGAGAUACGGCCCAGGCUCCUACGGGAGGCAGCAGUGGGGAAUAUUGCACAAUGGGCGGAAGCCUGAUGCAGCAACGCCGCGUGCGGGAUGACGGCCUUCGGGUUGUAAACCGCUUUCGCCUGUGACGAAGCGUGAGUGACGGUAAUGGGUAAAGAAGCACCGGCUAACUACGUGCCAGCAGCCGCGGUGAUACGUAGGGUGCGAGCGUUGUCCGGAUUUAUUGGGCGUAAAGGGCUCGUAGGUGGUUGAUCGCGUCGGAAGUGUAAUCUUGGGGCUUAACCCUGAGCGUGCUUUCGAUACGGGUUGACUUGAGGAAGGUAGGGGAGAAUGGAACUCCUGGUGGAGCGGUGGAAUGCGCAGAUAUCAGGAGGAACACCAGUGGCGAAGGCGGUUCUCUGGGCCUUUCCUGACGCUGAGGAGCGAAAGCGUGGGGAGCGAACAGGCUUAGAUACCCUGGUAGUCCACGCUGUAAACGGUGGGUACUAGGUGUGGGGUCCAUUCCACGGGUUCCGUGCCGUAGCUAACGCUUUAAGUACCCCGCCUGGGGAGUACGGCCGCAAGGCUAAAACUCAAAGGAAUUGACGGGGCCCCGCACAAGCGGCGGAGCAUGCGGAUUAAUUCGAUGCAACGCGUAGAACCUUACCUGGGUUUGACAUGGAUCGGGAGUGCUCAGAGAUGGGUGUGCCUCUUUUGGGGUCGGUUCACAGGUGGUGCAUGGCUGUCGUCAGCUCGUGUCGUGAGAUGUUGGGUUAAGUCCCGCAACGAGCGCAACCCUUGUUCACUGUUGCCAGCACGUUAUGGUGGGGACUCAGUGGAGACCGCCGGGGUCAACUCGGAGGAAGGUGGGGAUGACGUCAAGUCAUCAUGCCCCUUAUGUCCAGGGCUUCACGCAUGCUACAAUGGCUGGUACAGAGAGUGGCGAGCCUGUGAGGGUGAGCGAAUCUCGGAAAGCCGGUCUCAGUUCGGAUUGGGGUCUGCAACUCGACCUCAUGAAGUCGGAGUCGCUAGUAAUCGCAGAUCAGCAACGCUGCGGUGAAUACGUUCCCGGG
rnacentral:rRNA from 1 species